rnacentral:rRNA from 1 species
UACGGAGGGGGCUAGCGUUGUCCGGAAUCAUUGGGCGUAAAGCGCGUGUAGGCGGCCCGGUAAGUCCGCUGUGAAAGUCGGGGGCUCAACCCUCGAAAGCCGGUGGAUACUGUCGGGCUAGAGUACGGAAGAGGCGAGUGGAAUUCCUGGUGUAGCGGUGAAAUGCGCAGAUAUCAGGAGGAACACCAAUUGCGAAGGCAGCUCGCUGGGACGUUACUGACGCUGAGACGCGAAAGCGUGGGGAGCGAACAGG